GCGUCACAUCAGGUGUGGCCCUCCGGCUGCGCUCCAGCACUUGAGUUUCGUGGCUGUGUGUGUUGUGUCCCUGAGCCUCAUCCGCUGUGAGCUGUGACCCCCUCACCCCAGGAAGGCGGGAGUUGGACAUGAGAUGAACUCUGGGCAAGCCAGGCCAGCACUUGCACGGGAAAGUGCUCACAAGCUUCUGCGGGCAAAAACGUUCCGAGAGACGUGCUCAGAGAGCAGCCGCAGUGACGAAGGUGCUCGGAGAUGGGGAGUGAGGCUUCUUCACAGCGGCCUCAGCCCAGAGGCAAGUCCUUUGCGAGGACGGGAGCUCCGGGGCCACGGACUUCAAAACUGGCGUGUGACCAUGUGGGAACCCGGCUGAUGAGACCUGCCUCAUCCUCUGCCCCUGGCGUCUACACCGGGAGCAGGGUUAAUGCGCCCCUGAUUUCUUUGCACGUAUGUACACGGCGUGGACGCGGCCUCGGCGUGCUGGUUGUCUUCUUGGUGGAUCUGGGGGUGUUCUCAGAAGCCGUGCAGUAGGCUUCACCCCUGUGGCCCGGCGUGACCUGUGCGUGUCCGGGCCCGCCGCGCCCCUCGGUGUCUUGCACAGACUGGCUUGCACGCAGGUAAUGGUCAGUCGCUGUGUAGUUUCUGGCAAGCUCGCGUGCGUUUGUGGUUUGGCGAGACCGGAAGGUGCCGGGCGGGUGGGAAGUGGCCGGGCCAUCCCCGGUGAAGCUGGCCCGAGUUGGUAGAUGGCCUCACAGAAGCCAGAGAGCUGCCUACACGAUUUGGAAACUCCAACGACCCAGCCUGUUCAUCUCUAGGGUGGACGCGUCUACAAGGGCAAGGCACUGGGGGCUGCCACUGCAGGAAGGACACAGACUGGCUCAGCUCCACGGGAGACCAGCUCAGAGCUGCUCCUGCUUGUGUCCAGAGGCAAAAGUGAAGCUAGCCCGGGUUCCCUCUGCACCAACCCCCAGCGGCGUGCACCUUGCUCUGAGCCCGGCCACGCGUGCUGCCCCUCAGCCAUGCCCUGGGGACUGGCGUGCAGCUCCCUUCCCCAGAGGCCGCCAUGUCAUCCUCUCCUAUCUGAAGACCCACCGUUCUAGAACCGUGAGUCGUAACAGCCCCUCACCCUCUGGAUGACAGGGACUGGAAAAGAGAUUCACUCUGUGAGGUUGACUCUGUCCUUAAUGACCCAGACCUUUAAACACAGGACAGCAAACAGGGGCAUGUUUGCUUGUCCCUGCAGGAACACCCACCCGUCUCUGUGUCCGUCUCCGGCUCUCAUCCCCGGCUGCCUUGUUGGGGGUUGUGUCAUUCACUGGGUCACACGUAAGUGGAGGGACUAGUCCUUUGGUUUGCCCCAGAUAAGGGGCUUUCGGGACUCAAACUGGGAAAGUCCCAUACAAAGUGAGGCAAGCUACUCACCCUGUGGGCACGUAAUCUUGAGAGAAUGUUGCAGGAUGCUCUGUACCCUUCGAGGUUGACUUUACUGUGUGCCCAACUGGCUAAACACGAUCCUCUUCAGUUAUUUGCAGGCAGAGGGCAUGGCUGGGUCUCAGGGGUUGAGGAAAGCCCAGGUUUCUACAGCAGGCAGAAGGCCACCUCUCAGCCUCGGCUCUCGGUCUCCCUGAGCCACGGCGUGUUCUUCCGGAAAGGGCUGAGCCUGAUCUGAGGGUGAAAGGAUGCUCGCAGGCAGCGGCCCUGGUUGCCACUCAUAGUGAGACGUCAAAGUGGAAUUUGUGUGCUUAGGAAAUAUUUUCAAAGGGGAAAUGAACUUGAACUUUAUUAUCAAAUUGCUGAGUUGAUGUCUCUAUAGUAGUAGUUCUCCGCGGGCAGAUCCCCACCCCCACCACCUGGGGCUGUUCAGCAAUCCUGGGAGGCGUGUGGGGUUGUCAUCACUGGGGGGGGGUACAACCGACAGCUAGUGGGUGGGGGACAGGGGUGUCACUCAAUAUCCCGCAGUGCACGGAAUGACCUUCACAACACAGAACCAUCUGACCCCAAAUGUCAACAGUGCCAAGGACGCUACUCUGGGAAGCUCACUCACUUUGUAAGAUUAAUACCCAAUCAGCAUCAUCGUGAGUGGUGUCCGUGGAUACUACAGAAUAGGAGAAAGCUGGGCACACUUUAAAUGCUCUAGAAGAUUCUACUGAGGAGAUUAGGCAAGAGCCUCUUUGGUGAGCUGAAGCUCUUCUGACCCUCCUAGACCCCUUGAUUUUCGGGGGUUUAGUCUGGUGCCUCUAUGAGGUGAGUUCCAAGGGACUUACUACUGCUGUCUGGAGAGAUACUUGCAUUUUAAAAAGCUUGCUUUUGGAUAAAGAUGUUGUGGUUCAUAUAUCUAAUGGAAUAUUACACAGCCAUCAGAAAGGAUGAAUAACCACCA